rnacentral:rRNA from 1 species
CCUACGGGAGGCAGCAGUGGGGAAUUUUCCGCAAUGGGUGAAAGCCUGACGGAGCAACGCCGCGUGAGGGAUGAAGGCCUCUGGGCUGUAAACCUCUUUUAUCAAGGAAGAAGAUCUGACGGUACUUGAUGAAUAAGCCACGGCUAAUUCCGUGCCAGCAGCCGCGGUAAUACGGGAGUGGCAAGCGUUAUCCGGAAUUAUUGGGCGUAAAGCGUCCGCAGGCGGUCUUGUAAGUCUGUCGUUAAAGCGUGGAGCUCAACUCCAUUUCGGCGGUGGAAACUACAAGACUAGAGUGUGGUAGGGGCAGAGGGAAUUCCCGGUGUAGCGGUGAAAUGCGUAGAUAUCGGGAAGAACACCAGUGGCGAAGGCGCUCUGCUGGGCCAUAACUGACGCUCAUGGACGAAAGCUAGGGGAGCGAAAGGGAUUAGAUACCCCUGUAGUCCUAGCCGUAAACGAUGAACACUAGGUGUCGGGGGAAUCGACCCCCUCGGUGUCGUAGCUAACGCGUUAAGUGUUCCGCCUGGGGAGUACGCACGCAAGUGUGAAACUCAAAGGAAUUGACGG